ensembl:snRNA U1 U1 spliceosomal RNA
CCUUUUACCUGGCAGGAGAGAUGCCAUGUUCAAAAGAGUGGAUUUUUUGGGGCAAGGAUAAUCAUUGGAUAACCAUUGUACUCCAGAUGUGCUGACCUCUGGGAUUUCCCCAAAUGUGGAAAACUCAACUGCAUAAUUUGUGGUAGUAAGACACUGCAGGCAUUUGGCCUUC